rnacentral:tRNA from 1 species
UGAUGUGGCUCAAUGGCAGAGCGACGCAUUCGUAAUGCGUAGGUUGGGGGUUCGACUCCCCCCAUCA